UUUUUUUUUUUGUGCCAAAUAAAGUACUAGGGGAUUUUUCAGCAUCUAUAGGAAAAAAUAAUUUCAGGACAAAUGAAAGACAAUCCAAAGUCUCAAGCAAAAUUAGCAGAUACUUAAACUCCAAUAAUGAUUUUUUCUCUAGUGGGAAUUUUUAUAAUAAAUCCUCCUUUCUGAAUUAUUUGUUGGCUUUAAUAUUAAAUAAAAUCUGUAAAACUUCAAGUCAUCCCAUAAAGUCUCUUCAUUCCUACAAAAAGAAAACACAUAAUUAAGUGCUUUAAUACUAUAAAUGAAUCUUGUCUCUGUGUGCAGUAGAGAAAUGUCAGACUGAAAAUUAAAGAAGUUAAAUAAACAAAAAUAAUUUUCUUUUCCCAGUGCUUGUGGUAACAUUCACACAGAAAUCUUAUAUCUGGUCUUCUAUUAGAAGUUUAAAGGAUUUUUAUCAUAGGAGAAGUGUCAAAAUAGAACUGUUUAUCACUGACUCAAGUCCAAAGGAGAAGAAGUUUUAGAUAUGUGCCCUCUGAAAUCACCAAAUUCUUCUUCACCUAGAAACAAAAUCCUGAGUGAUACUGAGGAUCUGCUUCUUUGGUUCUAGUGGGAGCUGCAGAUUACCAACACCUCUUAAAGCAGUGUUGUUCAUGACUGUUGAAGAGCUCUUUCUACUCUAAUUCAAAGUGACAAGUGCUAAGGAUGGCUUUUGACACGUGAACAACUUCAGUCCAAGAAACUGCUGUAUUGGGUUUGCAUGGAAGGUUCUGGUGGGGGUGGGAAGGCGACAUGCGGCUUCCAUGAAAAGCUGCUAGAACCUUCCUCCAUGCCCAAUAGAGCCAAUUUCAUCCAGCUUCAAGACAGAACCUUCACUGGUCAAGGCCAAGCCCAUCAGCAAAGGUAGUAGACCCUCUGUGAUAACUUCUUUAUGAAGGAAAAAGGUUAUUGUGCAGAAGAAAUUGUGGCCAGAGAAGAGACUAUGUGAGACAAGCAACUAUGCAGACAUCAAAGUCAGUGAAGACGGAGCACAUGGAGCUGGAGCAGAGAUUCCCUUGCAGACUGUGGUGAAGACCAUGGGGAGGCAAGCUGUCAGGCUGUCAUCCUGCAGCCCUUGGAGAUAUGUGAGGUGCAGACAUUCACCUGCAGUCUGCGGAAGAAAUCCAUGCUGAAGCAGAUGGAUGUCCACUCUUCCUGCAGUCUGUGGAAGAGAUCCAUGCUGAAGUAGAUGGAUGUCCACAAGAAGGCUGUGACCCUGUGGGAAGCCCAAACUGGAGGAGGCUCCUGGCAGGACCUUUGUACCCAUGGAGAAAGGAACCCAUGCUGGAACAGGUUUGCUGGUAGGACUUGUAGUCCUGUUGAGCCCCAUGUUGAAGCAGUUUGUGAAAAACUGCAGCCCAUGCAAAGGACUCAUGUUAGAGAAGUUGGUGGAGGACUGCAUCUUAUGGGAUUGACCCCAUUUUUGAGCAGGGGAAAGACUUUUUUUCCUGAGGAGGAAGAAUUAGCAUAAAAAACAAGUGGUGAACUGAUCACAGCCCCCAUUCUCAUCCCCCUGUACCUCUGAAGUAGAAGAGGUGGAAGGAAGCGGUGAAUCAGGAAAAAAGUUAAGCCUGGAAAGAGGGAGAGAUGAGAGAGAAGUGGGUCUAAGAUUAGUUUUACUUCUCCUUAUUCUACUCUGAUUUUGAUUGGUAAUGAAUUCAAUUAAUUUCCUUAAGCUCAGCAUGAUUUGCUCAUGACAAUUUGUGAUCUUUCUCCACCCUUAUCUCAAUUCAUGAGCCUUUCAUUAUAUUUUCUCUUCCCUAUCCAGUUGAGGAGGAAAGAGAGAGAGUGGCUUUG
rnacentral:lncRNA from 1 species